rnacentral:tRNA from 1 species
ACUAAAAUGGCAGACAGAUGCCCAGGACUUAAGCUCCUGUCAGGAAGGACUCCCUUCUUUUAGAA